rnacentral:rRNA from 1 species
GUUUGGAAGGGUUUGUAUUUAUUAGAUAAAAGAACCAAUAUUUUUUGGUGACUCAUAAUAACUUUACGGAUCACAUUAUGUGACAUAUCAUUCAAGUUUCUGACCUAUCAGCUUUAGACGGUAGGGUAUUGGCCUACCGUGGCUAUGACGGGUAACGGGGAAUUAGGGUUCGAUUCCGGAGAGGGAGCCUGAGAAACGGCUACCACAUCUAAGGAAGGCAGCAGGCGCGCAAAUUACCCAAUCCUAAUACAGGGAGGUAGUGACAAGAAAUAACAAUACAGAACCUUACGGUUUUGUAAUUGGAAUGAGUUAAGUAUAAACCCCUUAACAAGUAUCAAUUGGAGGGCAAGUCUGGUGCCAGCAGCCGCGGUAAUUCCAGCUCCAAUAGCGUAUAUUAAAGUUGUUGCAGUUAAAAAGCUCGUAGUUAAUCUUCUGUUAAUUUUUAUAUAUAAUAUCACGAUAUUUAUAUAAUAUUAACAUAAUUCAUAUUACUUUUUAGUAUAUGAAACUUUACUUUGAGAAAAUUAGAGUGCUUAAAGCAGGCUAUUGCCUUGAAUACUCCAGCAUGGAAUAAUAUUAAGGAUUUUUAUUCUUCUUAUUGGUUCUAGAAUAAAAAUGAUGAUUAAUAGGGACAGUUGGGGGCAUUUGUAUUUAACAGUCAGAGGUGAAAUUCUUAGAUUUGUUAAAAGACAAACUACUGCGAAAAGCAUUUGCCAAGGAUGUUUUCAUUAAUCAAGAACGAAAGUUAAGGGGAUCGAAGACGAUCAGAUACCGUCGUAGUCUUAACCAUUAAACUAUGCCAACUAGAGAUUGGAGGUUGUUCCUUACUCCUUUCAGCAACUUUAUGAGA